UGUCUGGAGAAAGAAAGAGAGGAGAAAACCCUCUUACAAGAACAAGUAUGCAAUUCCAACUCAAAUCAAGGUCAAUUGGAUGUGAAAUCAAUGCAUGAAAGAAGAAUCCUUACCAUCUAGACAAGAUAAAACAUGUGGAUCAUGUCAAGGUGGGUGGAACCGUGGAAGGCUAACGGGAAGGAUGUGAGGAAGCAAGUAUGAAACGGACGCUUAAGGUAUGGGAACGCCGGACCCUCGAGGAAUUGAUGUCGGACUCGAGUAAAUAAAAUUGAGAGGAUGUUUCAAUGGAAUACAUUACGUAGCUAGAAUGUGAUAUUGCCUGUUAAGGAUAUGUAUUAAAUUAUAUAUGAUGUUACCAUGUACUAACGUGUUGGUUAUAUAUGGUGACCGCAUGUUACAGAUAUUCAUGAUGGACAAGUGAACGAGGGUCGAGUUGAAGAUCAUGGAUUGUACGGGAAAGCGGUCACAUUGUUGUAAUUAUUUGAUAACAUAGUUACAUUAAAUAAAUGAUGAAUGAUGUAUUCAUGUUAAAAGGUUUGACCUUACGGUAUUCAAGUAUGUUAGAGUAGUUAAAAGGAAGAAAUUUUAUGGUUCAUAUUCCGCUGCGUCGUUUUC